UACAGAGGUCUCAAGCGUUGUUCGGAUUCAUUGGGCGUAAAGGGUUCGUAGGUGGCGAGGCAAGUCGGAUGUGAAAUCCCGGGGCUUAACCCCGGAACUGCAUUCGAUACUGCCUUGCUCGAGUACUGGAGAGGAGACUGGAAUUUACGGUGUAGCAGUGAAAUGCGUAGAUAUCGUAAGGAAGACCAGUGGCGAAGGCGAGUCUCUGGACAGUUACUGACACUGAGGCACGAAGGCCAGGGGAGCAAACGGG
rnacentral:rRNA from 1 species